rnacentral:rRNA from 1 species
CGCGUAGGCGGCCUGGAUAGUUGGGAGUGAAAGCCCGGGGCUCAACCCCGGAACUGCUCUCAAAACUUCCAGGCUAGAGAUCUGGAGAGGAGGGUGGAAUUCCAAGUGUAGAGGUGAAAUUCGUAGAUAUUUGGAAGAACACCAGUGGCGAAGGCGACUCUCUGGCCAGAUACUGACGCUGAGGUGCGAAAGCGGUGGGGAGCAAACA